UUACACCUACGGGAGGCAGCAGUGGGGAAUAUUGGGCAAUGGGCGCAAGCCUGACCCAGCAACGCCGCGUGAAGGAAGAAGGCUUUCGGGUUGUAAACUUCUUUUCUCAAGGACGAAGCAAGUGACGGUACCUGAGGAAUAAGCCACGGCUAACUACGUGCCAGCAGCCGCGGUAAUACGUAGGUGGCAAGCGUUAUCCGGAUUUACUGGGUGUAAAGGGCGUGUAGGCGGGAAAGCAAGUCAGAUGUGAAAACCCUGGGCUCAACCUUUGGCCUGCAUUUGAAACUAUUUUUCUUGAGUACUGG
rnacentral:rRNA from 1 species